UACGGGGGGUGCGAGCGUUGUCCGGAAUCACUGGGCGUAAAGGGCGCGUAGGUGGUUUGAUAAGGGUGUGGUGAAAGUCCGGAGCUCAACUCCGGAUCUGCCGUGCCGACUGUCAAACUCGAGGGCUGUAGAGGCAGACGGCAUUCCGGGUGUAGCGGUGGAAUGCGUAGAGAUCCGGAGGAAGACCGGUGGCGAAGGCGGUCUGCUGGGCAGUUUCUGACACUGAGGCGCGACAGCGUGGGGAGCAAACAGG
rnacentral:rRNA from 1 species